rnacentral:rRNA from 1 species
ACUGUGAUCCGGAGAUGUCUGAAUGGGGGAACCCAGCCAUCACAAGAUGGUUAUCUUACACUGAAUACAUAGGUGUAAGAGGCGAACCAGGGGAACUGAAACAUCUAAGUACCCUGAGGAAAAGAAAUCAACCGAGAUUCCCUUAGUAGUGGCGAGCGAACGGGGACCAGCCCUUAAGUUGUAUUGAGAUUAGCGGAACGCUCUGGAAAGUGCGGCCAUAGUGGGUGAUAGCCCUGUACGCGAAAAUCCCUUUGCAAUGAAAUCGAGUAGGACGGGGCACGAGAAACCUUGUCUGAAUAUGGGGGGACCAUCCUCCAAGGCUAAAUACUACUGACUGACCGAUAGUGAACCAGUACCGUGAGGGAAAGGCGAAAAGAACCGCGGAGAGCGGAGUGAAAUAGAUCCUGAAACCGUAUGCGUACAAGCAGUGGGAGCCCACUUUGUUGGGUGACUGCGUACCUUUUGUAUAAUGGGUCAGCGACUUAUUUUCAGUGGCGAGCUUAACCGAAUAGGGGAGGCGUAGCGAAAGCGAGUCUUAAUAGGGCGUCUAGUCGCUGGGAAUAGACCCGAAACCGGGCGAUCUAUCCAUGGGCAGGUUGAAGGUUGGGUAACACUAACUGGAGGACCGAACCGACUACCGUUGAAAAGUUAGCGGAUGACCUGUGGAUCGGAGUGAAAGGCUAAUCAAGCUCGGAGAUAGCUGGUUCUCCUCGAAAGCUAUUUAGGUAGCGCCUCAUGUAUCACUGUAGGGGGUAGAGCACUGUUUCGGCUAGGGGGUCAUCCCGACUUACCAAACCGAUGCAAACUCCGAAUACCUACAAGUGCCGAGCAUGGGAGACACACGGCGGGUGCUAACGUCCGUCGUGAAAAGGGAAACAACCCAGACCGUCAGCUAAGGUCCCAAAGUCAUGGUUAAGUGGGAAACGAUGUGGGAAGGCUUAGACAGCUAGGAGGUUGGCUUAGAAGCAGCCACCCUUUAAAGAAAGCGUAAUAGCUCACUAGUCGAGUCGGCCUGCGCGGAAGAUGUAACGGGGCUCAAACCAUGCACCGAAGCUACGGGUAUCACUUAGGUGAUGCGGUAGAGGAGCGUUCUGUAAGCCUGUGAAGGUGAGUUGAGAAGCUUGCUGGAGGUAUCAGAAGUGCGAAUGCUGACAUGAGUAACGACAAUGGGUGUGAAAAACACCCACGCCGAAAGACCAAGGUUUCCUGCGCAACGUUAAUCGACGCAGGGUGAGUCGGUCCCUAAGGCGAGGCUGAAAAGCGUAGUCGAUGGAAAACAGGUUAAUAUUCCUGUACUUCUGGUUAUUGCGAUGGAGGGACGGAGAAGGCUAGGCCAGCUUGGCGUUGGUUGUCCAAGUUUAAGGUGGUAGGCUGAAAUCUUAGGUAAAUCCGGGGUUUCAAGGCCGAGAGCUGAUGACGAGUUACCCUUUAGGGUGACGAAGUGGUUGAUGCCAUGCUUCCAAGAAAAGCUUCUAAGCUUCAGAUAACCAGGAACCGUACCCCAAACCGACACAGGUGGUUGGGUAGAGAAUACCAAGGCGCUUGAGAGAACUCGGGUGAAGGAACUAGGCAAAAUGGCACCGUAACUUCGGGAGAAGGUGCGCCGGUGAGGGUGAAGGACUUGCUCCGUAAGCUCAUGCCGGUCGAAGAUACCAGGCCGCUGCGACUGUUUAUUAAAAACACAGCACUCUGCAAACACGAAAGUGGACGUAUAGGGUGUGACGCCUGCCCGGUGCCGGAAGGUUAAUUGAUGGGGUUAGCUCACGCGAAGCUCUUGAUCGAAGCCCCGGUAAACGGCGGCCGUAACUAUAACGGUCCUAAGGUAGCGAAAUUCCUUGUCGGGUAAGUUCCGACCUGCACGAAUGGCGUAACGAUGGCGGCGCUGUCUCCACCCGAGACUCAGUGAAAUUGAAAUCGCUGUGAAGAUGCAGUGUAUCCGCGGCUAGACGGAAAGACCCCGUGAACCUUUACUAUAGCUUUGCACUGGACUUUGAAUUUGCUUGUGUAGGAUAGGUGGGAGGCUUUGAAGCGUGGACGCCAGUCUGCGUGGAGCCAACCUUGAAAUACCACCCUGGCAACUUUGAGGUUCUAACUCAGGUCCGUUAUCCGGAUCGAGGACAGUGUAUGGUGGGUAGUUUGACUGGGGCGGUCUCCUCCUAAAGAGUAACGGAGGAGUACGAAGGUGCGCUCAGACCGGUCGGAAAUCGGUCGUAGAGUAUAAAGGCAAAAGCGCGCUUGACUGCGAGACAGACACGUCGAGCAGGUACGAAAGUAGGUCUUAGUGAUCCGGUGGUUCUGUAUGGAAGGGCCAUCGCUCAACGGAUAAAAGGUACUCCGGGGAUAACAGGCUGAUACCGCCCAAGAGUUCAUAUCGACGGCGGUGUUUGGCACCUCGAUGUCGGCUCAUCACAUCCUGGGGCUGAAGCCGGUCCCAAGGGUAUGGCUGUUCGCCAUUUAAAGUGGUACGCGAGCUGGGUUUAGAACGUCGUGAGACAGUUCGGUCCCUAUCUGCCGUGGACGUUUGAGAUUUGAGAGGGGCUGCUCCUAGUACGAGAGGACCGGAGUGGACGAACCUCUGGUGUUCCGGUUGUCACGCCAGUGGCAUUGCCGGGUAGCUAUGUUCGGAAAAGAUAACCGCUGAAAGCAUCUAAGCGGGAAACUUGCCUCAAGAUGAGAUCUCACUGGAACCUUGA